rnacentral:rRNA from 1 species
GACGAACCGUGCGAACGUUGUUCGGAAUCACUGGGCUUAAAGGGCGCGUAGGCGGAUAGUUUAGUCAGAGGUGAAAGCCCAGGGCUCAACCUUGGAAUUGCCUUUGAUACUGGCUAUCUUGAGUUCGGGAGAGGUGAGUGGAAUGCCGAGUGUAGAGGUGAAAUUCGUAGAUAUUCGGCGGAACACCAGUGGCGAAGGCGACUCACUGGCCCGAUACUGACGCUGAGGCGCGAAAGCGUGGGGAGCAAACAGGG